rnacentral:rRNA from 1 species
ACGCUCGACACCUACGGGAGGCAGCAGUGGGGAAUAUUGCACAAUGGGGGAAACCCUGAUGCAGCGACGCCGCGUGGAGGAAGAAGGUCUUCGGAUUGUAAACUCCUGUUGUUGGGGAAAAAGAGGAUGGUACCCAACAAGGAAGUGACGACUAACUACGUGUCAGCAGCCGCGGUAAUCUGAGCGGGCUGGCAAGGC